UACGUAGGGUGCAGGCGUUAAUCGGAAUUACUGGGCGUAAAGCGUGCGCAGGCGGUCUGCUAAGAGAGGUGUGAAAGCCCCGGGCUUAACCUGGGAAUGGCCGUUGAAACUGGCGAACUGGAGUGUGGCAGAGGGGGGUGGAAUUCCGCGUGUAGCAGUGAAAUGCGUAGAGAUGCGGAGGAACACCGAUGGCGAAGGCAGCCCCCUGGGCUAACACUGACGCUCAGGCACGAAAGCGUGGGGAGCAAACAGG
rnacentral:rRNA from 1 species